UUGCCAUGCUUAAAUCAAAAUUGAGUCCAUUAAGGUUAGAUUAAGUAUUUAAAUUGUUUUAAGUGGAAAUUCUAGAUAUAUAUGGCAUGUCUUAGCAUAUUUUGAUAUGAUUUAUUAAUGUCUUAGAAUGAUUUUUUAAGGCUUAAAUUUGACGUUGAAAGCAUAUCAUGAUAGGUUUUAAUGGUAUUUUGUGUUGGUCAUCCAAGCAUGUAUGGUUUUGAUCAAAUCAUGUUGAACUUGUGAGGUUUUGAUUUAUUCCACCUAGGCUUAAUAAAUGAGUAUUUAGAAAACUUUGUGAUUGGGAUAAGAAGGAAAAUGUAUGAUUAAAUCCAGUUUUUGAAACUUUUCUUGAGAAAAAGGACCAAGAGACAUCAUUCAUGUUUAAGGACUAGUUUAAUAGAGAUAUAGGUUUUUAGCCAUGAUUGUAUAGGGGUAAAAAACGGCGUUGAGUAUAGAGAGAGAGAGAGAGAGAAAGAGAGAGAGAGAGAGAGAGAGAACUGGGUAGAGAGAAUUCUCAUGAUGCAAUCGUUAUUGAGUCUGGGAUUGGAGGGUUAGUUGCUGCUACGCAGUUGGCAGUGAAGGGUGCUAGGGUUCUGGUUUUGGAGAAGAAUGCCAUUCCCGGUGGGCCGGUGGUGGGAGCUCUGGAUAUUACAUGAGGGAUGGUUCUACAGGAGGCAUACCUGAGCUGCCACAAUGCAGAGGAAGACUGUAAGCAGGCUUAGGAAAAAGGGACCAGCGCUGAGUCUCAAGCCUGCCAUGAAAUAGACAACAAGAAGGAAUAAUACUGGUAGUACCAGGUCAAGUGGAAGGUCGCUUGUAGUUCUAGCCACAAAAUAUGCACUUAGUCUAUACAUGUCAGCCGCUCUUUCUUUACUCAACAUGGCUCUUUCUUGAGGGAAUGUGAAUAUCGCUGUGAAGACAGGAAAGAAUCCCCAGAAGACACCGAUGAAGAAAAGCAGUCCUACCUGCAAUGGAAGUUGGCUAAGUUCUAUGCUGGGCUGUAUAUUUCCAAGAUAUGCAGAAGGGCAAAAUGUGAAGUUAAUGCUUUCGUGAGUAUGGUUAUAUUGAAGAGAGAUUUAACAUUUUAAGAAGCUUCUUUUGACCGGGCCUAUUAGGAUAAUGCCAUUGAAUUUUCCUAUGAAAUGGAAAGUUAUGACCAGAUCUGUAGUCCAGUUUGCAUAUAUAACUUCUCUAGGAAAAAAAAAAAACAGAAAAAAAAAAGA